AGAGUUUGAUCCUGGCUCAGGACGAACGCUGGCGGCGUGCCUAAUACAUGCAAGUCGAACGAAGUUAUGAGGGAGCUUGCUCCCGAAUAACUUAGUGGCGGACGGGUGAGUAACACGUAGGCAACCUGCCCACAAGAUCGGGAUAACAUUCGGAAACGAAUGCUAAGACCGGAUAGUCAAUAUGGCCGCAUGGCCGAAUU
rnacentral:rRNA from 1 species